UACGAAGGGGGCGAGCGUUGUUCGGAUUUACUGGGCGUAAAGGGCGCGCAGGCGGCGCAUUUUGUCAGGCGUGAAAGCCCCGGGCUUAACCUGGGAACUGCGUUUGAUACGGAUGGGCUAGAGUUCGGGAGAGGAGAAUGGAAUUCCCGGUGUAGCGGUGAAAUGCGCAGAUAUCGGGAAGAACACCCGUGGCGAAGGCGGUUCUGCUGGGACGGUACUGACGCUGAGACGCGAAAGCGUGGGGAGCGAACAGG
rnacentral:rRNA from 1 species